rnacentral:rRNA from 1 species
UGAAGUUAAAGGCAGUGGNUCAACCAUUGUAGGCUUUGGAAACUGUUUAACUUGAGUGCAGAAGGGGAGAGUGGAAUUCCAUGUGUAGCGGUGAAAUGCGUAGAUAUAUGGAGGAACACCGGUGGCGAAAGCGGCUCUCUGGUCUGUAACUGACGCUGAGGCUCGAAAGCGUGGGGAGCGAACAGGAUUAGAUACCNUGGUAGUCCACGCCGUAAACGAUGAGUGCUAGGUGUUAGGUCCUUUCCGGGACUUAGUGCCGCAGCUAACGCAUUAAGCACUCCGCCUGGGGAGUACGACCGCAAGGUUGAAACUCAAAGGAAUUGACGGGGGCCCGCACAAGCGGUGGAGCAUGUGGUUUAAUUCGAAGCAACGCGAAGAACCUUACCAGGUCUUGACAUCCCGAUGCCCGCUCUAGAGAUAGAGCUUUACUUCGGUACAUCGGUGACAGGUGGUGCAUGGUUGUCGUCAGCUCGUGUCGUGAGAUGUUGGNUUNNNNNNCGCAACGAGCGCAACCCUUAUUGUUAGUUGCCAUCAUUCAGUUGGGCACUCUAGCGAGACUGCCGGUAAUAAACCGGAGGAAGGUGGGGAUGACGUCAAAUCAUCAUGCCCCUUAUGACCUGGGCUACACACGUGCUACAAUGGCUGGUACAACGAGUCGCAAGCCGGUGACGGCAAGCUAAUCUCUGAAAGCCAGUCUCAGUUCGGAUUGUAGGCUGCAACUCGCCUACAUGAAGUCGGAAUCGCUAGUAAUCGCGGAUCAGCACGCCGCGGUGAAUACGUUCCCGGGCCU